rnacentral:tRNA from 1 species
GGGGCCGUGGCAGAGCGGCCCAUUGCGAUCGGCGUGGGGGAGGCCCUUCCCACGCCGACUGACGGGGUGAGGGGCGGGCCUGCCCCUCCCCGUCCGCGGGUUCGAAUCCCGCCGGCUCCG